rnacentral:lncRNA from 1 species
AAAAUAGAUGUUUCUAUACAAAAUUUACCAAUUUGAUUUAUAUGACAACAAUUAUAUAUACAUAAAUACUCAAAUUGACCACGGAAAGGUUGAAGAUGAGAUUGGAAAUUUAAAAAAAUUAACUAAAAAAAUCUGGAGUCUGAAGAUUGGAGGCAGUGCCGCAGUAGAAGCCGAAGUUCAGAAGUUCCGAACUGAAGAGAAGAUUGGGGAUCGGAGCAGUUGAGAAACGAGAUAGAGAGGAACAAUCAAGAUGGAGAGGAGCGGUGGCUGAUGGGAGAGGCUCAGAGCAGUCCGAGGUUGAAAGUUGGGACUUGGGAGCAAUC